ensembl:snRNA U6 U6 spliceosomal RNA
GUGCUUACUUCAGCAGCAGCACACAAACUAAAAUUGGAAUGAUACAGAAAAGAUUAGCGUGGCCCCAUCACAAAGAUGACAUGCAAAUUUGUAAAGUGUUCCAUAUUUUU